AAACCUGCAGGGACACCGGCCCUCGUGGACUGAGAUUGGGGACCCCUGGCUUAGAGGAUGGAGGGAUCUCGUCUGGUCCUCUGGAUGUUGUAGUUUCAUUACAGUGGACCCACAUGAACGACAUCCACCGACACAACAUUAGGCACACUGCAUCAAAACAGACUCAGAUCUUUGCUUCACCUUAAUGUUUUCCAUCGAGGUUGAGACAGAGGAGGGAAUUUGUUUUUUGGGGAACUAUUCAUCCAAAUUUAUCUAACACAGUAAAAGAGACAAUAUGCUGCUAUAAAAAAUGCACCGGCCUGAAUCAGGAGUCACAAAACACAGUUUGAGCCUUGUAAUAAAGUCUGGACAGUGAUAACAUUUUCAAACAAAUGCAUUAGAAUAAAACAAUCACGAUCCAAAUUAAAUGCUAACUCUGAGUAGUUAAUACAUUUGUUAAGGGAGCAGGAGACUGAAACCCAAUGAAAGAGGCAGGAGGAGAAGAGCAGAGAGGAAUGCACAAACAAGCACACGGAGCAAAAACGAGACCACAUGGGACUGAUUACACAAUGAGACGCAGCUGGGAACCGAGCACAGCUGCAGACAAUCACACAGGAGGGAAGACAAAGAGAGGAAGGGAAAGCAGAGCAGGCAUGUGAGGAGAAGCAAUCGCUAAAAUAAAACAGGAAGAGGGACCCAGGACGGCAACAGCGGGUACAAACAGACAAGGACGCAGGAAAUACGAGAACAGGAGAAUCAAAACAAGAACCAUGAGAGUUUAACAGUAACACUGCAGUAACCACGAGGAGGAGUUUCAUGUGCACCGUCCUGUUUCCAAGAAGCAUUUCUUUACUAAUCAGCAGAGGGAAGAAGAGACCUCAAAUAAAGAAGUAAAGACAGUUACAGUAAAGUUACAGAUCACAUGUAUCACAUGACCCCGACCAUCAGUUUUGCAUCAAAUGAUUUGUUUGCAAACAACACGACAUGAAAGCAAAUUAAUUCACAUUAAGUUUACUCCAAAGCAUAUCCGCUUAUUUAAAGGGCUUAAACUUGACCUCGUAAAAGGGCCUCAGCUGCCUGACUGAGUGAGGUUUAAGUGUGAGUCCAGUU